rnacentral:rRNA from 1 species
CUAAGUUUGAUGGCGACCGGCGCACGGGUGAGUAACACGUAUCCAACCUGCCGAUGACUCGGGGAUAGCCUUUCGAAAGAAAGAUUAAUACCCGAUGGCAUAGUUCUUCCGCAUGGUAGAACUAUUAAAGAAUUUCGGUUAUCGAUGGGGAUGCGUUCCAUUAGUUUGUUGGCGGGGUAACGGCCCACCAAGACUACGAUGGAUAGGGGUUCUGAGAGGAAGGUCCCCCACAUUGGAACUGAGACACGGUCCAA